CCUACGGGGGGCUGCAGUGGGGAAUAUUGGACAAUGGGGGCAACCCUGAUCCAGCCAUGCCGCGUGUGUGAAGAAGGCCCUCGGGUUGUAAAGCACUUUCAGUGAGGAAGAACGCCUGGUGGUUAAUACCCAUCAGGAAAGACAUCACUCACAGAAGAAGCACCGGCUAACUCCGUGCCAGCAGCCGCGGUAAUACGGAGGGUGCGAGCGUUAAUCGGAAUUACUGGGCGUAAAGCGCGCGUAGGUGGCUUGAUAAGCCGGUUGUGAAAGCCCCGGGCUCAACCUGGGAACGGCAUCCGGAACUGUCAAGCUAGAGUGCAGGAGAGGAAGGUAGAAUUCCCGGUGUAGCGGUGAAAUGCGUAGAGAUCGGGAGGAAUACCAGUGGCGAAGGCGGCCUUCUGGACUGACACUGACACUGAGGUGCGAAAGCGUGGGUAGCAAACAGGAUUAGAUACCCCAGGAGUC
rnacentral:rRNA from 1 species